UCUUCCCAGCUCGGCUCACACAGAGAGAGCAGCAGGGGCUGCUUCUGCGCGCGGCCCCCACCCAGAACCCGCUGGAAGCUGAGCGCCACACAGCUGCACACAACUGGCAACCCUCCCGGCUGGAUCCCCGAAGGGCGGCGCCGCGACCCGAAAUCUCUGCGCGGGGAGACGUCAGGGCGGCCGCGUGCGUCUCCUCCCUCCGGCCGCUGUCCCGACCGCCGCCCCGGAGCACAGGGGCACUGAGCCCGCGGUCAGGGCGGACCCCGGAGCGGCGCCAGGCACAGCCUGGCUGGCGAAGCUCCCCGCGCGCCUCCGCUCCCGGGUGCGAGCGCUUCGAGCCGGGGCAGCCUGGGGCAGCGGGGAGUAACCGGGAGCGCAGCGAGCCAGGGCGCACGCACAUCUGCAAACCCUUCCGCAAAGCUCUCCCUCUGCAAGCGUGUCGGGUCCGCGCGAAGGCAGGGCGGGAGGAAGCCGGGGCGGCCGGGGGAGGCCUCGCGAAGUCGGCCCGGGGCGGCCGGGAGGCAACGGGAGAGGGGCCUGGCCCGCUGCCUGCAGGGUUCAGACGGGGCCAAGGAAGCCAAAAGCCGGCCGGCUCGCGCCAGCGCCGGGAGCCAAGGCUGACGCGGGGUGCUGAAUAAUGUUUGGCCGGCGGGCGCAGCCCCCGGGCUCGGCGGGGACGCGCGCAAGGGGCGGGCGGCCUCCCUCGGCGCCUCUGCCCCGAGCCCGCGCAGCCCGCUCCGCUGCGGGAGCACUCCCGUCCCGGGCCCUGCCACCGCCGCGUCGGCCCCGAGGGCGGGCAGCAGGCGAUUCCAACCCCACUGGGCCCCUCGGGACUCCCUGUUCUGGCGCGUGCCUGGGAUCCCUGAGCAGAUCGUGGGAGGACAGGAAAUGCGGUCCCACUCCCCACGAAAGCAGUCCACCCGCCCCGCGCAUGUUCCCAGGCGGGACAGCCCUGGGGCCCAGCUCUGAGAUGGCUUGCUGCAGAACUUCCUGAAAGUGAGCACCUGCUUUGGGAAGAUGACAAGAACGGGGAACCCUGACACUCAGCUGUGCUGAGCCCCUGAAACUCACCUGUCGUGAGCCACAAAGGGACCUCACACAGCCCUGUUAUUCCCUUACUGUCAUUAACAAGACUGUAAACAUAAACAGGUUUGUAUUUUACCUGGGCGCUUUCAACCCAUCUUUCCUCUUUAUCCUUACAGCAACCCUGUGUCGCAGACAGAGCUGGUACCUAUUCAUUUUACAGGUGAGAAGUCGUAGGAGUGAGAAAGACCUGAGUUUCUGUGCCCAUUCGCCUAGCCAAGCUCUGUCAACCAAAGGCUGACCCCCUUCUCCCUCUCUCUCUCCCUCUCUCUUUCUCUCUCUCCUUCCCUCAGCGGGAAGCCACAUUUCCACCCCCUGCAACAUUCUUGAAGACGGUGGCCUCUAUUUCUCUGAGAAUUAGGCCUUCUAGUCUUCUGCUGCCUGGAGAGGUAGUGAUAGCAAGUGAUGAGGAAGCAGGUUCUCCUUACAGCAGGACACAUUCUGUGAGUGGCCUUCUUAGAUGCUUUCCUUCCAGCUGCAAGGAAGAUCAGCACUCCUUGCCCUGGGCAAGUAGUUCUCAAAGUCUAGUCCUCAGACUGGCAGCGGGAGCGCCACCCAGGAACUUGUAAGAAGUCCAUUCGCAACCUCUGCUCCACCCCAGACCUCCUGAAUCGGACACUCUGGAGGCGGAGCCCAGCAAUUUUGUUUUAAGGAACCAUCCAGUGGAUUCUGUGAUACAUGCUGAAGUUCUGGGAACCACUGUUCUAGAAAAACUUCUGCAGAAGCAGACUCUGAAUCCAAGAGCCUGACUGCCGCACUGCUGAGGAGGUCCGAGAAGGCAAGAAAUGAACUGGUCCGGCGAUCAGCAGCAGUGUGAUGGGUCCAUUCCUCAGAUUCUCUGUUCACUCUGUGUGUGUGUGUAUGUGUGUGUGUGUGCGCGCGCGUGCGUAUGUGGGUAAACCUUUGGGGCCACAUAAUUGAUUGGAAAGAAAUGGGGUCUUUCAGGGCGCCACACAAUACUGCGUUCACACACCCACUCGACUCACACCGAGUGGUCCUGCUGUGGACCAGUCCCUCAAAUUGCUAAGGAUGAUCUGGAUAUUCACUGAUUCUUUGAGUUGGAAGAAACAGGUGCAACCAGGUCAUGUCACGCAGUGGAACAGCAUUGCUAGGUACGAGGAAACACGUGAAGCGGACACUGCUGUUUCGUUCUCUCUGGCUGACAGAAAGCUGACCCUGACUCAGUUGAAGGGUAGAGCCAGGCUGUGCUUCCGGGAAGUGGGGGGGGGGGGGAAGGGGGGAGCAGGCUGCACUCCUCCCAGCUGGCCCCAGUGCUUAAUGUAGGGAUGGGUACCAGGUAUGAUUCCAACCAGUGACGGAGCAGGGAAGCUUGCUGGGGAGCGGUUGGAAAAUUUUCCUCCCUGUCUGACAGGGUCACAAGAAACAUGCAUUUCCUUUUUUUAUCUCUAGACGCCACUGCCCGGAAUCACUACGGUCUUUCUGAAAAGACAGUGACACAUUGGACUAGAGGCGCAGGCAGCAUAUUGAGGGUGGCAGAGAAGAGAGUUAGGAAACACUUGGUAUCUUCAGGAUGUUGUUCAGCCACCAGGUUCAUGGAUUUGGAGAGCCCAAACCUUCUGAAUACAACGAGUGAGAUCAGAAUCUCCCUGCGAUACACAAGCAGAAAUGCAAGUCCCGUGCGGCAUCAGAGGGGUUAUCAGGAGGACGUUCAGAGGCUCUGACAACGCUAGGCCUUAGAUCGGCUGGCGUCCCGCAUCUGUCUGUCUCAAGAGUUUCCGGCUCUGUUGCCCUGGCUGUGGGUCCCUUUUUGUGUCUGUCGUUUCCACUUUCUGCCGACUGGCCCUUACUCUCUCCGGUUUCCAGGUCAGAUUUUCAACAAUGAGAACCGGACUGCCUCGUUGAGCAGCACAGCUUCUGAUGGGGAAGGACUUCUCAUGUGGGGCCUCCUCCUGGGUCGCUGGUCAGUCUGUGCCUUGGCUGUCGUUGAAUCAGGGUCCUGAUCCUGGUAAGGAGAGUGGAUACGGAACGUGGCCAGCCCCACUCAGCCCGAGGCAGAGGCCGUGGGCUGGGAAGCCUCCCUGACAAGUAAACAAGGCCCUUGGCAGGUACUGAGACUGACUUGCCACCACAGCCUUCUCGGGGAACAAUGAAAUGGCAGCGCUGAGCCAACCAGGGUCAGAGCAAAGGAAUCCACUCCAACCACAACCCCCCUCCGCUGUUGAUCUGUCAUACACCCGACAGUCCGGGGGGGUCUGGCCAAAACGUGUGCCUGGGUGCCUCGAUCUGCCUCCAGACGCACAGUCGAACUGCUCAGAGACUAUCCCCACCCCGGGUGGGUCCCCGCAGGAAGGAGGCGCCCUUGCUGCCUGCCCCGAAUGCGCACACCACACAUGAUUUUUCCAUAUGGCACUUUAUGGCAACCGUCUGCUGGGUUGCUUUGUUGUGUGCCGCAUCAGGAAAGCCUUCGCGGUGCCGCCUUGUGCUGGGAUGUGCCCACAGCCACGGCGCUGACGGAACGGAGAGUCGAAGGGACAGCAAACGACCGCAGCAGAAUGUUUCCUAAAGCCACGCUUUAAAAAAGCAUAGGGGAUACCGGCAACAAGGAGCCCAAGUGUGCGAGCACGACCUCGCUUCCGCUGUGUUUGUGGCAUCCUGAUCGGACGUAUGUUAUUCUUUCCUUGAGAGCAAGCAAUCACAGGAAUGGAAGAGGCGCAAACUGAGGUGUUUCUGUCACUUGUUAGUUCUCUAUCCUCAGGCGAGUUGUUUGAACUUUCUGAGCUUCAAUGUCUUCAUUGGUAAAAUGCGCCUAAUACUCCUUCCCUCGCAGGCUUGCCGUAUUCCUUCUACGCAGUGAGGCACCUGAGAAGAUGUUGAACACCUAACGUCAUAAUAUGUUAAAGCUGCAAUUCCGAAAGACCCCCUCCCGGGAAGCAGGUGGGCUAUCGGAUGACUUUGAGAGAACCAUAGUCUGAAUCUCUAGACCGUGGCAUUGACUGAGUCCGGCGAUGUCAGAAACGAGCCGUGGCUGGAAAGUGCCAAGUGGAUCGUGGGAUCUUGGGAAGAAGACAGCUUCGCUCCUGUUCAUCCGACCAGGAAAUGGAGAGGAAGCCAAAGUAGCUUCCAGAGCUGAGCCCAGGUGUCAUUUGUCAUUUUACGCUACAUGGGAAGUGGGACAGGACCCGGGCCUGACACCAGCUAGGCCUCCGAGGAAAGAAUCAGAAGCCACGGUUACCAGUCAGUGAAUGAUGCCACGGCAAACCACUCAGGGCAUUAGGAGAUGGGUCAGGAAUAAGAAUGGGAUUUUUCGGGAUUUGGGAGCCAAAGGAUCUUCAGGGGUGUGAUAAAGAUGUUUAGGAAUUCUCGGGCCUAGCAUUGAGAAAGGUCAACUAGACAUCUGAGAGCACUCAGAAGUCUGGAAUGGCUGCCUGAGGCCACACUCGAAGAGGAAAUCAGCAGUGAGUGUUGGCGAGAUUUUAGGGAUCCCUGAAGGCCACACGAUAGGAGUACCAGACACUGGUGUUAUUUAAGAUGGUGGGGAGGAACAGGGCCAGUUUUUUCCAGAAGACAAGAGUCUAAGGUGUUUCACUCCACCCGCCCCCACCCCACCCCUGCACAUCCUGCAAAAUCCUCAGAACCAUGAAGAGCCUGGGUCUGACUCCCAUCCGUAGGUUACAUUAAAAUGCCCAGUCGGCCUUAAAAUAGGAAGAGUCAUCCAGGUGGGUAGCACCUCAUCCUAAGAGCCCCUUGGAAGCAGAGAAUUUCCUCUAGCUGGUCGCAGAAGGGGAAGUCAGGGAUCUCAAGCAGAAGGACUCAAGUCACUACUGAUGGCUUGAAGAGGGAAGGGGCCACUUGUCAAGAAAUUUGGUGGCUUCUAAGAAAAGUAGCUUUGCUGACUCCCAGAAACAAGAGAGGGAUCUCAGUCCUACACCCACAAGGAGCUGAAUUCUCCAACAGCAAGAAUGAGGGUGGAAAUGGAUUCCUUCCCAGGGCCCCCAGAUGAGGGCCCAGGCUGGUCAACACCUUCACCUUAGCCUUGGGAUACUCUGAGCGGGGGACCCGGCCAGAUCCAGACCCAGAUCCAGAGAUAAUAAGUGGGUGUUGUUUUCAGCUGUUAAGUUUGUAACGAUUUUGUGUGCAACAGUUGGACACAAAUACAGGUCAAUGAAGAAAAUGUAGCUCAAACUUGAAGACUUAGAAAUGUGUGCAUCUUUGCCUAGUUUCUACUCUGGUUUUUUCCACCUGUUGUUUACCACUAUCUUCUUCAUACUUUUCUUUUUUUUUUUUUUUUUUUAAUUCACUCUCUGAUUACUAGGAACCAAUAAGAAUUUAAAUAUACCUAAGUGCUGAUAAAAUAUAAGAAAAAUAUACAAAAAAAUGUAAAGUCCAUACUGUUUCUGCCACGUAGUUUGUGUGGCCUGGGAAAAUUUUUUUAGCCUCCUUGUGUCUCAGUUUCUCAUCACAAACAGGGUUUAUAAAGCUUACUUACUGCAUUUAAGUCAGACUCAACUCACACGGUGUAUUCCAAUGUGGUUUAUGAAGUAUAAGGCUUUAUACAAAUGUAAGCAACUGCUUCUGUAAAGCCAGAGCAACCAGCAGGAUGCCUGGGGCAGCCAGGCGAGCCAGCGACAGUGAAAAUCCCAGCUAGAAUUUCUAGACACCUAGUAGGAGAACAUUAAUGAGAAGAGCCCCUUGAAGAAAGUAUGGAGGACCAUUUGCAAGGACUAUUUUUCCUCUUGGCUGUGCUUUCAUUCUUCAAGUAAAAAAGAACAGACUCGGAAGCAUGCUAGACUAAUUCUCGGUAUCACUAAUAACAGAGUUUAAAAUCCUAGAUGAAAAAAAAAGUAAUAUGAUUCCCAGAAAGGCCGACCAAG